CAGCAAAAAAAAAAUAACCUGGGGAAGUAUUAAGGUCAUGAACAUGUAUUAAAGAUCAAAUAAAAGUACUAGAAGAUCAAAAACCCAAUUUCCUUCCACCCACAAAUUUAAAUAACACAGCACAAACUUCAUUUCAACAAUAGUUGUAGAAAGAAAACAUCAAUAACCUAAUUAAAACAGUGACACCCCUUGACAUCAUACUUGGUAUCUCCCACUCCCAUGAUGCAACACAGCACAGGUAUAAAAAGCCCAACAAAAGUCCAUUCUAGUCUUUUGCUUAAAUCAAGAUGGCCGCCGCCAUGCUUGCUGAUUCAGCAGUUAUAAAGAACCUGCUGGGGAAACAAUGAAGGUCAUUGGUGAUGGAAGUUAAUCAGAUACAUCAGGCUGAGGAAAACAGAGUCAAAGAGCAUCGAACUGAAGAGAAGGACCCACACAACCCUGAGGCAGAUGUUUCAAAAAUGCUGAUGAGAUGUGGGAGUUUUCUUCAAGACAGAACAGACACAGUGCUGGAAUCAAGAUCCUAUAUCACAGAGUUAAUGUUCAUUUGUAGACAUUAUAUAGCAACUUAUCUUUAAUGAUAAGAUUGUCUAUUAUUUGCUAUUUAACCUCAGUAGUACUGUUUGCAACAUUUUUAUUUGUUUAAAUAUUGUAAAUGGAUUUUGUCUGUCUGCUAUUUCCCUCUGAAGUAUCUAGCCAUCUCUGUCAAAUCACAUGCAAAAUGUGUCUUGUGCCCUUUUUUCCAGGGACAGUCCAGUUUUUUUUUUUGUUUUUUGGUGUUCUGUUCCCCAAAACCC